rnacentral:rRNA from 1 species
AACAAACGCUGGCGGCGUGCCUAACACAUGCAAGUCGUACGAGAAAGGGUCCUUCGGGGCCUGAGUAAAGUGGCGCACGGGUGAGUAACGCGUGGAUAAUCUGCCCUUCAGUUGGGAAUAACUCAUCGAAAGGUGGGCUAAUACCGAAUAAUGCUGUGAGACCUCGGUUGAUCAGCCAAAGAGAGCCUCUGCUUGCAAGCCCUCGCUGAAGGAUGAGUCCGCGUACCAUUAGCUAGUUGGUAGGGUAAUGGCCUACCAAGGCGACGAUGGUUAGCUGGUCUGAGAUGAUGAUCAGCCACCCUGGAACUGAAGCACGGUCCAGACUCCUACGGGAGGCAGCAGUGAGGAAUCUUGCGCAAUGGGGGCAACCCUGACGCAGCAACGCCGCGUGAGUGAGGAAGGUCUUCGGAUCGUAAAGCUCUGUCGGAUGGAAAGAACCGCAUAGGGGUAAACAGCCCCUGUGUCUGACGGUACCAUCAAGGGAAGCACCGGCUAACUCCGUGCCAGCCGCCGCGGUAAAAC